rnacentral:rRNA from 1 species
UACGAAGGUGGCAAGCGUUCCUCGGAAUUACUAGGCGUAAAGGGCAGGUAGGUGGUUUGGUAAGUCUAUUGUGAAAGCUCCUGGCUUAACUGGGAGAGGUCAAUGGAUACUGCCGGACUUGAGUAUAGGAGAGGUUACUGGAAUUCCCGGUGUAGCGGUGAAAUGCGCAGAGAUCGGGAGGAACACCAAUGGCGAAAGCAGGUAACUGGACUAUUACUGACACUCAGCUGCGAAAGCUAGGGGAGCAAACAGG